rnacentral:rRNA from 1 species
GAUGAACGCUAGCGACAGGCUUAACACAUGCAAGUCGAGGGGCAGCAGGGGAGUAGCAAUACUCCCGCUGGCGACCGGCGCACGGGUGAGUAACACGUAUGCAACCUGCCCUUGUCAGGGGGAUAAGCGGAAGAAAUUCCGUCUAAUACCGCAUAACGCUGCGGGGAGACAUCUCCCUGCAGCCAAAGAUUUAUCGGACAAGGAUGGGCAUGCGGCGCAUUAGCUUGUUGGCGGGGUAACGGCCCACCAAGGCGACGAUGCGUAGGGGUUCUGAGAGGAAGGUCCCCCACACUGGUACUGAGACACGGACCAGACUCCUACGGGAGGCAGCAGUGAGGAAUAUUGGUCAAUGGCCGGGAGGCUGAACCAGCCAAGUCGCGUGAGGGAAGACGGUCCUAUGGAUUGUAAACCUCUUUUGUCAGGGAGCAAAAACUGCCACGCGUGGCAGGAUGAGAGUACCUGAAGAAAAAGCAUCGGCUAACUCCGUGCCAGCAGCCGCGGUAAUACGGAGGAUGCGAGCGUUAUCCGGAUUUAUUGGGUUUAAAGGGUGCGUAGGCGGACAGUUAAGUCAGCGGUAAAAUUGAGAGGCUCAACCUCUUCCCGCCGUUGAAACUGAUUGUCUUGAGUGGGCGAGAAGUAUGCGGAAUGCGUGGUGUAGCGGUGAAAUGCAUAGAUAUCACGCAGAACUCCGAUUGCGAAGGCAGCAUACCGGCGCCCAACUGACGCUGAAGCACGAAAGCGUGGGUAUCGAACAGGAUUAGAUACCCUGGUAGUCCACGCAGUAAACGAUGAAUACUAAUUGUUCGGGUCGAGUGAGAUCUGAGUGAUACAGCGAAAGCGUUAAGUAUUCCACCUGGGGAGUACGCCGGCAACGGUGAAACUCAAAGGAAUUGACGGGGGCCCGCACAAGCGGAGGAACAUGUGGUUUAAUUCGAUGAUACGCGAGGAACCUUACCCGGGCCCAAACGACACAGGAAUGAUCUGAGAAAUCAGGCAGUCCUUCGGGACCUGUGUCGAGGUGCUGCAUGGUUGUCGUCAGCUCGUGCCGUGAGGUGUCGGCUUAAGUGCCAUAACGAGCGCAACCCCCAUCGACAGUUGCCAGCAGGUCAAGCUGGGCACUCUGUCGAGACUGCCGGCGCAAGCUGUGAGGAAGGCGGGGAUGACGUCAAAUCAGCACGGCCCUUACGUCCGGGGCGACACACGUGUUACAAUGGCAGGUACAGCGGGAAGCCACCUGGCGACAGGGAGCGGAACCCGAAAGCCUGUCUCAGUUCGGAUUGGAGUCUGCAACUCGACUCCAUGAAGCUGGAUUCGCUAGUAAUCGCGCAUCAGCCACGGCGCGGUGAAUACGUUCCCGGGCCU